ACAUCAAACGAGACUUUAMAMACUGCAAGAAAAWCKUGAGUCAAGAUGAGGUUCAGUUUACUUGUGCUUCUCGUUCUUGGCCUUGUUGCCUUUACCUUUGCUGCUCCUGUGAUAGAAGAGAACGAAGAUCAGCCUGAUCCAAAUACUGCCAUCGAAGAAGCUCCAUAYAAUCAGCCGGACAAUGAGGUGGCCAAAUUUGACAAUGGCGAAGACAAUGACCCUGCCCUCAGUGUCGUUAUGGCCAGGACACCAA